CCUACGGGGGGCAGCAGUAGGGAAUCUUUCACAAUGGGCGAAAGCCUGAUGGAGCAACGCCGCGUGCAUGAUGAAGGCCUUCGGGUUGUAAACCGCUUUUAUAAGCGAGGAAUAUGAUGGUAACUUAUGAAUAAGGAUCGGCUAACUACGUGCCAGCAGCCGCGGUCAUACGUAGGAGCCGAGCAUUAUCCGGAAUGACUGGGUGUAAAGAGUUGCGUAGGUGGGAUAAUAAGUAGCUAGUGAAAUCUGGUGGGUCAACCAUUCAGACUAUUAGGUAAACUGUUAAGCUCGAGACCGUUAGGGGUAACUGGAAUUUCUAGUGUAGGAGUGAAAGCCGUAGAUAUUAGAAGGAACACCAAUAGCGUAGGCAGGUUACUGGGACGGUUCUGACACUGAGGCACGAAAGCGUAGGGAGCAAACGGGAUUAGAUACCCUUGUAGUC
rnacentral:rRNA from 1 species